AACGAACGCUGGCGGCAUGCCUAACACAUGCGAGUCGAACGAUCCCUUCGGGGAUAGUGGCGCACGGGUGCGUAACGCGUGGGAACCUGCCCUUAGGUUCGGAAUAACUCAGAGAAAUUUGAGCUAAUACCGGAUAAUGUCUUCGGACCAAAGAUUUAUCGCCUUUGGAUGGGCCCGCGUUGGAUUAGCUAGUUGGUGGGGUAAAGGCCUACCAAGGCGACGAUCCAUAGCUGGUCUGAGAGGAUGAUCAGCCACACUGGGACUGAGACACGGCCCAGACUCCUACGGGAGGCAGCAGUGGGGAAUAUUGGACAAUGGGCGAAAGCCUGAUCCAGCAAUGCUGCGUGAGUGAUGAAGGCCUUAGGGUUGUAAAGCUCUUUUACCCGGGAUGAUAAUGACAGUACCGGGAGAAUAAGCCCCGGCUAACUCCGUG
rnacentral:rRNA from 1 species